GAAACUGAUUGUCACGCACGCGUCUCUCGUAGCUUUCUGUUGAGAAACGCUCAACUCAUUUCUUCAUGGAGGGAACGAGAAAACUAGGCGAGGCAAGGAGGAUCUUAUGCUAGUAUGUUAUUGGUGGGUGAUUCUUGGUUACCCCUGCUGAGGUUUCUCACUUGCACACUGAAAUACUCUCACAGUCCAAAUGUUGCUUGAAUCCUGCUGUCGUAAAUUCACGUUCGAUACUUUUCACGUGUGAAAUACCUUCUCGCUCAAGGUUUAUAAAUAUUUAUUGAUUAGAUUCUACAACAAUCUUGCUCAUGAUAAAAUAUCUUGCCUGUGAGUACCCCACGAAAGUAUCGUCCGAGAGUCUCAGGACUUCAGAGGAGCAGAGACGAUCCAUAGCCAAGAACGGACCACAAUUCAUUUCCAGAGCCUUGACAUUCACUAUGGAGUACGUUCAUAUCUGUGUACACCCCAACUAUCCCGUUUCUCUCUGACUUGGUGCAAAUGGGAACGAGAUAUCAUUAUCGGUUUUAAUGGCUCCGUAAAAGAUGAAAUAUGGUGGAAAGUUGAUGUAAGAAAAAACCACUUCGGACCGCGGGUAUGUACGUACGUACGUUCGAACAUGAACUACAUGGAACAGAAAGAGAGAACUCUGUAGAGUCAGUGGGAAAGCUCCGAAUUUUCCACUGUGGACGGUCGAAAGGCUUCCAAUGGUUAUUGUCAAGCAACAAACGAUAGGGAGGACCCAGAAAUUGCGAGAUGGAGUAAGAGAGAGAAGAGCCUGAGUGGGACUGAUCCUCUUGAGGAAUGAAAUGGAGGCUACAAAAGAGUUUGAUUUUUUAUUCGCCCGUAUUCCUCUUGGAAUUCAAAGCAAUUUUGAGUGCCAUCCAAAGAUCUACGUUCGCCUGAGCAUCCAAAUGGCGAUGGGCAAAGGUAAAAGGACUGGCUCACUCUGUUGAAGUGGGAAUCGAUUUGGCUCAAAGAUUGCUUUUUUUGCGGCCUAUUGAAAUGGAUUGAAACGACCUUUCCGAGAUGGGGAACGAGUGUUCGUCCCACCCAAACUUGAUUGUGGGUUGUGUUGGCACCGUUGUGUUCACAACUUCAGGAUGCUACAACAAAGGACAACAAAAGAACUAUUCCGAAGUGUGAAAUGAAUGGAGAGGAAGGCCUUGAUGAAUAUCAAAGGUCGAGCAGCGAGCAAAGAUUGAACUUCGGAUCUCCAAAUGGUCGGUUCAAAGUCCACAAACUCUCGUGUUGUCAGCGGAAAACAAAAAAAGGAAGAAGGCCAGGUCACUCUGAAGUUCCACGGCUUAUUUUCCGUGCUCCCCUCUUAGGAUCGGGUCAGUUCAUUGAUUGGCCUUCAGAAGUUUUUCAUAUCCUUAAAAACCGUUAUGUAGGGUGAAAAGGGAAGAAAGGAGAAAGAGGAAGAAGAGAAGUGGAGGGAAGAGAUUCGGGAAAUCGCUUUCCCUGAUCCCCCUCUCUUUCGUUCUCAAUCUGCUAGUCGAAGGUGUCUUGGUCGAGAAUUUUGAACAUCAAGGAGAAUAGCAUAUUCAGUUAGCCACGUCAGGAAUAAAUCCGGAAAGAUUAAAGGCCGAACUUGGAAGUCAAACAUUAAAAAGGUGUUAAUCGAGGUUUGCGAAAGUCAAAUUGAAAGCUAUGUCCCGAAUUGCUUCAAUGUCAGAAACCGAGAGUGUAGCUUUAAAUUGCUGACCCCUAGAUAUUUUUUAACGAAUGGCAUUAAGGCGCUCUAGUGUUAUCAGUAGUAGACCUCGAAAAUAAAAGUUGUCAAACAUUUUUAUCUUACGUGGGAAAAAAACAAGGAAUUGAGAAAACAUGAAAAAAGCAGAAAAUACCCGAAAAAAGCUGUAGCAAUGACAAAAAGGUGGGUUUUACGCUCCUUUGCUGCGUUUUUUUUUCUCUUAUAAGAUGUUUGGCACGCAUCUGGAUUUACUUGGCUAAUUUUGAGUUUCUUCAUCUUAUUUGAAAGCAAUCAAAAACCAUUUAUUGCAGUGUUCGACAUGAACACUGUUUUAAUUGCAACAGAUGGUACGAAUUCUGUUCUUGAGCUUAGAACUACAGGUUAGGGCACGUUUGUUCACAAAAUGGUUUUGGUUUUUCUUUGGAUCAGACCUAUGAUGGCAGGCAUGGCCAGCUCCACUGCAACUCCCUUUUUUGUUGACGUUCCCAACCAGAAAAAUGGGGGUUGAAUUUGUUAGUUGCUAAAACCUGAAAAAAUACACUUCGUGUUUGAUUCUUCGUCUGGUCAGGCUACAGGGAAAAGGAGAUUAAACAGGGAUUAAAAGGUUAGAAGAAAACAGACAAGGACCCAAAUGAUCAAAUCACUGUAAAUGGCGACGAAGAGUAGAAAAAGGGGGUGAAAUUGGUAAAAAAAAAAGGUGGAAAAUUGGAAAUUUGGCUCAAAAAAACAGCUUUAGUAAGUUAAAAAGCUUGUUUCGGGUUUUAACUAGUUUGUUCGACGUGUAUUUUUCAGCUCCGAGGUACUGUAAAUGACGUGGGAAUUAAAACAAGAUUUUGUGAUAGCAGUAAAUAUUGAUAUGCGAAUUAAGACGAAACGAGUCUGGAAACGACGGACCCCAUCAUUGUUUGUUUUUUGAGAUAACAUUCCUGAACUAAAUUGUGGUCGAAUUCUCGUUCCCAAUCAAAUAAAUCCAUCUUAGACUAAAACUAGACUCCUGUAUUGAUUAAUCUGCUUCGUAAAUUUUGUCGACAAGAUAUCGGCACCAAAAAUCAAUAUCUCUCUAGUUGUUCAAAGAGUUUUAAAUAGGGAACAAAGUUCACAAAGAUAAGUCGCUUUGAGCAUGAAAAGCAACUGCAUCUAAUCACUUCGUAUUCAUUCGAGUUCGGUUGUGGAAAGAUCUUUCCCAUUAAACCAAAUGUAUGAUGGCCUUCAUUGAUGUUUAGAGAAAAAAGACCUUGAAAGACCCUCGACUCUGACUGAGCCUUCAAGCAGGAAACAGGACCUGAUAAGGGUGGGCAGAGCCCCUUGAAAGGAAGGAGAGGGAAACGAAGAAGGAAGUAUGGCCAGCAGGCAGGCAGCCAGGCAGACAGGCAGGGAGGGCAAAGAGGAAGAGAAAAAGAAAGCAGGAUUUGGUGGGCUAUGGCCCAUCCAGUUCACUUCUUAUGCACACCCGUGCUUCCAUUGGCCACCCACACCCUUGUAGUCUACUACAAGACGAUAAUUCGUCUUUCGACUUGGGGCAGGUUGAAGUAGUCCGGAACUGGAACGAGCACUUUGAUUGUCCUCGCAAACUUUUCACGAGAGUGACAAGAAAAUUAUCAUGCUUGACCCUCACGGUUUGGCCCUGGACGCGGGGCAUUCUCAGCUCCACAGAGGCCACAUCCGAUGGGAAUACGGAGCCUUGGGUCAGUGGCUAACUUCAAACCUGCUCGGCACGUAUUCAAAAUCCAGCUGAAUUACACGUGGAGGACAGGUCGGAGAGACCGUGUGCUUCAAGGUCAGUGGAUAAGCUGGGAUAAACGGGAGGUCCAUCCGCUCAAGUGGAAAAUGGAAAGAGGCUCGAGGAUUAAUUGAUGCCGCUCGAGUCCGUGGUGAGCUCAUCAGUAUUCGCAGAAACGGAUAUCGUUUAGCCAUCCCUGCCGUUAGUCACCAUCUCCCAGGUUCCUGUUCCACGCCAACAUGGGACCAAUGUCUGAAUGAGAGCAUUUCACAUGAUCACCCGAGAGAGGUUCCAUCUCUUCGCUGCCGACGAUUUGGGAACCCUGGAUUGAGCUCAGUACACUUUCACUCCAAGCCAAACGAAGGCCAACCUCCAGCCCACCACCGCGUAUGCGGUGGUGUUCCCCCCCUAGUACUUAUGCUACUUGGAGAUUCGUGGUCACCAUGGGAAAGACCUCUAGAGCCUAACAAGCUUGAUCAAGAUGGAUCUUCACCCAAAUCCGAGGAGUUUAGUUCCAAGCCAAGGUGUGAGAUCGAAAGAAGAACUGUUCCAUGGCAAUCUUUAACCAACUACACAAAACGAUGCUGUGCAAUAUGUUUUUUACCUAUAGUGGAUGCUUCACGGUAUUCAUGUACUAAUACCAGGGAGUGAAGCAUAUGGGACGGGAUGUGCCCGAGGUUCUAAAAACCCGAUAAAUAAAGUUUCCCCGGGUCAAUAAAACGCGACCUGUCCGGUCCUUGAUCUAGUCUGCA